GCGACGCUGGCGGUGCGCCUAAUGCAUGCAAGUCGAACGGUCAGCACUGACUUCGGUCAGUGCAUGAUAGUGGCGAACGGCUGAGUAACACGUAAGUAACCUGCCCCGAAGAGGGGAAUAACUUCGAGAAAUCGAAGCUAAUACCCCGUACGCUCUAUAUAUUGCGAUUUAUAGAGGAAACGUCUCGACUUGUCGAGGUGCUUUGGGAGGGGCUUGCGGCCUAUCAGGUAGUUGGUAAGGUAACGGCUUACCAAGCUUAAGACGGGUAACCGGUGUGAGAGCACGAUCGGUCAGAGGGGGACUGAGAUACGGCCCCCACUCCUACGGGAGGCAGCAGCAGGGAAUCUUGCGCAAUGGGCUAAUAGCCUGACGCAGCGACACCGCGUGGGGGAUGAAGGCUUUAGGGUCGUAAACCCCUUUUCUCAGGGAAGAGUAAGGACGGUACCUGAGGAAUAAGCUUCGGCUAACUACGUGCCAGCAGCCGCGGUAAUACGUAGGAAGCGAGCGUUGUCCGGAUUUAUUGGGCGUAAAGAGCGCGUAGGCGGCUCGGCAAGUCUCGUGUGAAAUCUCCCGGCUCAACUGGGAGGCGCCAUGAGAAACUGUCGGACUUGAGGGCAGCAGAGGAAGACGGAAUUCCCGGAGUAGUGGUGAAAUGCGUAGAUACCGGGAGGAACCCCAGUGGCGAAGGCGGUCUUCUGGGCUGUUACCUGACGCUGAGGCGCGAGAGCGUGGGGAGCAAACCGGAUUAGAUACCCGGGUAGUCCACGCCCUAAACGAUGGAUACUAGGUAUGGGGGGUAUCGACCCCCUCCGUGCCGUAGUUAACGCGAUAAGUAUCCCGCCUGGGGAGUACGGCCGCAAGCCAAAACUUAUAUAAGUAAUUGCG
rnacentral:rRNA from 1 species